rnacentral:rRNA from 1 species
GAUGAACGCUGGCGGCGUGCCUAAUACAUGCAAGUCGAGCGAACGGACGAGAAGCUUGCUUCUCUGAUGUUAGCGGCGGACGGGUGAGUAACACGUGGAUAACCUACCUAUAAGACUGGGAUAACUUCGGGAAACCGGAGCUAAUACCGGAUGAUAUUUUGAACCGCAUGGUUCAAAAGUGAAAGACGGUCUUGCUGUCACUUAUAGAUGGAUCCGCGCUGCAUUAGCUAGUUGGUAAGGUAACGGCUUACCAAGGCAACGAUGCAUAGCCGACCUGAGAGGGUGAUCGGACACACUGGAACUGAGACACGGUCCAGACUCCUACGGGAGGCAGCAGUAGGGAAUCUUCCGCAGUGGGCGAAAGCCUGACGGAGCAACGCCGCGUGAGUGAUGAAGGUCUUCGGAUCGUAAAACUCUGUUAUUAGGGAAGAACAUAUGUGUAAGUAACUGUGCACAUCUUGACGGUACCUAAUCAGAAAGCCACGGCUAACUACGU